UUAAGGUAACAAAUGUUAAUACAAUUAUCGAUUUUAAGAUUAAUAGUAAGAUGCCAUAUUUUAAUUUUUUAAUAGUUUAUUUAAAGGAUAGGAUUUUUUUUUGUUAAGAAAAAAGUUCUCAGACCUUUAACAUCAUGGGUGGUUUCUGUUUGCAAAUUGACUAUAGUUGGUACUUAGUUGAUACUAAAUCAUCCUCUAUAGAGGAAUUCUGGAUAGAGAAAUAUCUUAGUUCAAUACUUUAACUAAUUACUCCCUGAACAUUUUGUUGUCAUCAAUUUUGCUAAAGGCUUUUUCAGUGCCACAAGGAUUUAUACGGUAUUAUACA